AGGGGCGUCGUCAAGAGGCCAAAGACACCGGGUUUUGAUCCCGGCAUUCGAAGGUUCGAAUCCUUCCGCCCCCGCCA
rnacentral:tRNA from 1 species